rnacentral:pre_miRNA from 1 species
AUGGAGAAUCUGUAAAGCUCAGGAGGGAUAGCGCCGUAACCAAACAAAAAUAAGUAUAGGCCGGUGUCGUUUUUGUCACGGCUCGUUACCAUAAUAUCUUAAGGAUAUUGGCGCUAUCUAUCCUGAGUUUCACGGCUUCUUCUU